rnacentral:rRNA from 1 species
CCCUUAGAUGUUCUGGGCAGCACGCGCGCUACAAUGGUCUUCGCAAACGGAUGCAUUCUCGAAGGAGAAUGCCAAUCUUGGAAUCUAUGCCUUGGUCGGGACAGUUGCUUGCAAUUUUUCGACUCGAACCAGGAAUUCCUUGUAAUCGUGAUUCAUCACAUCACGAUGAAUACGUCCCUGCCCUUUGUACACACCGCCCGUCGCUCCUACCGGUCGAAGAGUUAGGUGAAUUGUUUUGAUCGAUAAGAUUUGACUAUGGUCAACUCUCGUUGUGGAAUUCUGUGAAUCUGACUGUUUAGAGGAAGGAAAAGUCGUAACA